UGGGUCAAUGAUGACCACUAUGAGUCAUACAUCAUGAUUACAGUUCUGGUAGUCUGAGGUCAAC
rnacentral:snoRNA from 1 species